rnacentral:rRNA from 13 species
CUCAGCGAAAUUGAAUUCUCCGUGAAGAUGCGGAGUACCCGCGGUUAGACGGAAAGACCCCGUGAACCUUUACUACAGCUUCGCAGUGGCAACAGAACCGUUAUGUGUAGGAUAGGCGGGAGGCUAUGAAACAGGGACGCCAGUCUUUGUGGAGCCAACCUUGAAAUACCGCCCUUGAUGCUUUUGUUGUCUAACCGCGGCCCGUGAAACCGGGUCCGGGACCCUGCGUGGUGGGUAGUUUGACUGGGGCGGUCGCCUCCCAAAGAGUAACGGAGGCGCGCGAAGGUGAGCUCAGAGCGGUCGGAAAUCGCUCGACGAGUGCAAGGGCAUAAGCUCGCUUGACUGCGACAUCGACGGAUGGAGCAGAGACGAAAGUCGGUCCUAGUGAUCCGGUGGUCCCGCGUGGAAGGGCCAUCGCUCAACGGAUAAAAGGUACGCCGGGGAUAACAGGCUGAUACCCCCCAAGAGUCCACAUCGACGGGGGUGUUUGGCACCUCGAUGUCGGCUUAUCACAUCCUAGUAAUGUAUAAGUUAUUAAGGGUUCGGCUGUUCGCCGAUUAAAG